GGGGAAUAUUGCACAAUAGGGGAAACCCUGAUGCAGCGACGCCGCGUGGAGGAAGAAGGUCUUCGGAUUGUAAACUCCUGUUGUUGAGGAAGAUAAUGACGGUACUCAACAAGGAAGUGACGGCUAACUACGUGCCAGCAGCCGCGGUAAAACGUAGGUCACAAGCGUUGUCCGGAAUUACUGGGUGUAAAGGGAGCGCAGGCGGGCGAUCAAGUUGGAAGUGAAAUCCAUGGGCUCAACCCAUGAACUGCUUUCAAAACUGAUUGUCUUGAGUAGUGCAGAGGUAGGCGGAAUUCCCGGUGUAGCGGUGGAAUGCGUAGAUAUCGGGAGGAACACCAGUGGCGAAGGCGGCCUACUGGGCACCAACUGACGCUGAGGCUCGAAAGUGUGGGUAGCAAACAGGAUUAGAUACCCUGGUAGUCCACACCGUAAACGAUGAUUACUAGGUGUUGGAGGAUUGACCCCUUCAGUGCCGCAGUUAACACAAUAAGUAAUCCACCUGGGGAGUACGACCGCAAGGUUGAAACUCAAAGGAAUUGACGGGGGCCCGCACAAGCAGUGGAGUAUGUGGUUUAAUUCGACGCAACGCGAAGAACCUUACCAAGUCUUGACAUCCUGCGACGGUGCUAGAAAUAGUAUUUUCCUUCGGGACGCAGAGACAGGUGGUGCAUGGUUGUCGUCAGCUCGUGUCGUGAGAUGUUGGGUUAAGUCCCGCAACGAGCGCAACCCUUAUGGUCAGUUACUACGCAAGAGGACUCUGGCCAGACUGCCGUUGACAAAACGGAGGAAGGUGGGGAUGACGUCAAAUCAUCAUGCCCUUUAUGACUUGGGCUACACACGUACUACAAUGGCGUUAAACAAAGAGAAGCAAGACCGCGAGGUGGAGCAAAACUCAGAAACAACGUCCCAGUUCGGACUGCAGGCUGCAACUCGCCUGCACGAAGUCGGAAUUGCUAGUAAUCGCAGAUCAGCAUGCUGCGGUGAAUACGUUCCCG
rnacentral:rRNA from 1 species